rnacentral:rRNA from 1 species
CACCAGACUCCUACGGGAGGCAGCAGUGGGGAAUAUUGCACAAUGGGGGAAACCCUGAUGCAGCGACGCCGCGUGAGUGAAGAAGUAAUUCGUUAUGUAAAGCUCUAUCAGCAGGGAAGAAAAUGACGGUACCUGAGUAAGAAGCCCCGGCUAACUACGUGCCAGCAGCCGCGGUAAUACGUAGGGGGCAAGCGUUAUCCGGAUUUACUGGGUGUAAAGGGAGCGUAGACGGCGAUGCAAGUCUGAAGUGAAAGCCCGGGGCUCAACCCCGGGACUGCUUUGGAAACUGUAUGGCUGGAGUACUGGAGAGGCAAGCGGAAUUCCUAGUGUAGCGGUGAAAUGCGUAGAUAUUAGGAGGAACACCAGUGGCGAAGGCGGCUUACUGGACUGUAACUGACGUUGAGGCUCGAAAGCGUGGGGAGCAAACAGGAUUAGAUACCCGGGUAC